UACGAAGGGGGCUAGCGUUGCUCGGAAUCACUGGGCGUAAAGGGUGCGUAGGCGGGGUUUUAAGUCAGGGGUGGAAUCCUGGAGCUCAACUCCAGAACUGCCUUUGAUACUGAAGAUCUCGAGUCCGGGAGAGGUGAGUGGAACUGCGAGUGUAGAGGUGAAAUUCGUAGAUAUUCGCAAGAACACCAGUGGCGAAGGCGGCUCACUGGCCCGGUACUGACGCUGAGGCACGAAAGCGUGGGGAGCAAACAGG
rnacentral:rRNA from 1 species